rnacentral:rRNA from 1 species
UAGCCGUUUAAUCGAGAGUUACUGGGUGCUAAGCGCACGCAGGCGGUUUGUUAAAGUCAGAUGUGGAAUAACCGGGGUCAACCUGGGAACUGCAUCUGAUACUGGCACGCUUGAGUCUCGUAGAGGGGGGUAGAAUUCCAGGUGUACCGGUGAAAUGCGUAGAGAUCUGGAGGAAUACCGGUGGCGAAGGCGGCCCCCUGGACGAAGACUGACGCUCAGGUGCGAAAGCGUGGGGAGCAAACAGGAUUAAAUACCCUGGUAGUCCACGCCGUAAACGAUGUCUACUUGGACGUUGUGCCCUUGAGGCGUGGCUUCCGGAGCUAACGCGUUAAGUCGACCGCCUGGGGAGUACGGCCGCAAGGUUAAAACUCAAAUGAAUUGACGGGGGCCCGCACAAGCGGUGGAGCAUGUGGUUUAAUUCGAUGCAACGCGAAGAACCUUACCUGGGCUUGACAUCCACGGAAGUUUUCAGAGAUGAGAAUGUGCCUUCCGGAACCGUGAGACAGGUGCUGCAUGGCUGUCGUCAGCUCG